rnacentral:rRNA from 1 species
CUGGCGUUAAAGUCAAUUUNGUACUUAAAUUACACAUGCAAGUAUCCGCACCCCCGUGAAAAUGCCCUCCCCAUCCUCUUAGGAACGAGGAGCCGGUAUCAGGCGCCUCUCUUUUGCCCAAGACACCUAGCCUUNGCCACACCCACACGGGAAUUCAGCAGUGAUUAAUCUUGAAAAUAAGCGUCAGCUCGAUUCAGUUAAAGUACAGANAAGCCGGCAAAUCCGGUGCCAGCCGCCGCGGUUACACCAGUAGGCUUAAGUUGACUCUNGAUCGGCGUAAAGCGUGAUUAAAGUGAUAACAAAANUAAAGUUAAAUUGCAACUAAGCUGUGAAAANGCNUUGUUUACNNAAGAAUCUCAUAAACGAAAGUUACUUUAGCCAGAACAACUUGAACUCACGACAGCUGAGAAACAAACUGAGAUUAGAUACCUCACUAUGCUCAGCCGUAAACUUUAANAUUACACCUCUAUCGCCAGGGAACUACGAGCAAAGCUUAAAACCCAAAGGACUUGACGGUGCCCCACAUCCACCUAGAGGAGCCUGUCCUAUAAUCGAUGAUCCCCGUUUAACCUCACCAUUUUUAGUUAAUCAGCCUGUAUACCUCCGUCGUCAGUCUACCACGUGAGUGAAACUCAGUAGGCAAAAUGUCCAUGCGAUCUCAAAUCAAUNACGUCAAUACGUCAGGUCAAGGUGCAGCAAAUAAAAUGGGAAGAGAUGGGCUACAUUUUCUAUAUNUAGAAAACAACGAAAAACUAUUUAUGAAAUCUAGUUAGAAGGAGGAUUUAGUAGUAAAAAGAAAAUAGAGA